UGCUGCCUCACUUUCCACUUCCCUGGGAGCCUUGGACGCUGGAUUUCCUGUUCUUUCCCUCUCAGGUGACCAGGAGCCACUUCACCAUCCUCCAAGACCCAAAAGGCAGCAGCAACCACCUGGAGCUCAGGGCUGUCGUCGGUGUCUCAUGCUACAGAGAGAAGUAGACGACCUGAAAGAGCAACUUGCCGCCAUGCAGUCCCUGGUUGACAAGUUCCAGAGCCUUUCAAGUUGAGCCAGCAUCUUCCUACAAGAGAAGUAGCUGGUACCUUUGGAGCCUGGGAGCUGUGGCCAAGCUGGUUCCCUCCUGUUGUACCUCAGCCAGGGCUUCCUCUCCCCUUUCUUUGCCCCCUCCCCAGCCCAGUUCACGGCA